rnacentral:lncRNA from 1 species
AUUUGCAUUCCAAUCUUGUGCAUCAUCUUCAAAACGAUCUUUGAUAGACGUUUGACAAAUCAACCAUAUUGACUUGAAUAAAUAUUCUGCACCUUGACAUUAUCAUUCUUGAUAGAUAUGAAUAUUUUUCCCUUGACUUCUAUCAUUCCAAAAUAUAGAAAGAGGCGUCUGGAUUCUCCUUUUCAAGUCCUUGAGACAAGUAAACUCGAAGUUCAUUUAGAUGUGAAGUUUCAUCAUAAUUAUCACCUUGAGAACCCCAGAAUUCUGUCCAAGAUUUAAGAGCUGUUAAGCCCGCAACUCAUUUAGACGAUUGUGAGCUAGACGAAGUAGGGGUUGGAAUAUUUGGCCUAGCAUGCUCUAAGGCAACUUGAUAAGCAUUAUAAACAGUUUGAGCAUUAAUUUUAAUUGAUGCUUUUGCAUUUGCAAGUGUAACAACUUCCUCGUUUGAAAGAUCUAAAGCCUUAUAAAUAUUUGAAUACCAAAAAUGAGGACCUCCCAAUUUCAUUGUAGGAUUUAACAUUGCAGCAACACCAAAAAUAUGAGGGAUAGGGAAAAAAUAUUUUUAAAAUUUUUAUUUCAUUUCAUUUAUAGCAAGUUCAUAAAUAUCCUCACCCUCGCCAAAUUCAAUAUACAAAUCAGCCAGUACGGCAAUAUAAACUAAACAGUUUGAAAUAGUAGGAUAAUAUUGCCCAGAAAAUACAUCUGUAGCAACUUGAAAAUGUUCUAAAAAAUUUAAAAGAAUUUUAACAUUCGUCCAAUCUUGGGUAAUAAGCAUUUCAUCAUCAUCCUCACCACC